rnacentral:rRNA from 1 species
GCUUGUCUCAAAGAUUAAGCCAUGCAUGUCUAAGUACAUACCUUUGCACGGUGAAACCGCGAAUGGCUCAUUAAAUCAGUUAUGGUUCCUUAGAUCGUUCAUAUUACAUGGAUAACUGUGGUAAUUCUAGAGCUAAUACAUGCAAAAAGCUCCGACCGUAUGGGAAGAGCGCUUUUAUUAGACCAAAACCAAUGGGGUGGCAACAUCCCUUUGUCUGGUGACUCUGGAUAACUUUGUGCUGAUCGCAUGGCCUCGAGCCGGCGACGUAUCUUUCAAGUGUCUGCCCUAUCAACUUUCGAUGGUAAGCGACUUGCCUACCAUGGUUGUAACGGGUAACGGGGAAUCAGGGUUCGAUUCCGGAGAGGGAGCAUGAGAAAUGGCUACCACAUCUACGGAAGGCAGCAGG